rnacentral:rRNA from 1 species
CCUACGGGUGGCAGCAGUGGGGGAUAUUGCACAAUGGGGGAAACCCUGAUGCAGCGACGCCGCGUGAGUGAAGAAGUAUUUCGGUAUGUAAAGCUCUAUCAGCAGGGAAGAAAAUGACAGUACCUGACCAAGAAGCCCCGGCGAACUACGUGCCAGCAGCCGCGGUAAUACGGAGGGGGCAAGCGUUAUCCGGAUUUACUGGGUGUAAAGGGAGCGUAGACGGUUAAGUAAGUCAGGAGUGAAAGGCCGGGGCCCAACCCCGGGACUGCAUUUGAAACUGUGUAACUGGAGUACAGGUGGGGCAGGCGGAAGUCCGGGUGUAGCGGUGAAAUGCGUAGAUAUCAAGAAGAACCCCGGCGGCGAAGGCAGCCUUCUAGACUGAAACUGACAUUGAUGCUCGAAAGCGUGGGGAGCAAACAGGAUUAGAUACCCCGGUAGUC